rnacentral:rRNA from 1 species
UACGUAGGAGGCAAGCGUUGUCCGGAAUUAUUGGGCGUAAAGGGCUCGUAGGCGGUCCAUCGCGUCGGGAGUGAAAAGCUGGGGCUUAACCCCAGUCCUGCUUCCGAUACGGGUGGACUAGAGGUAGGUAGGGGAGAACGGAAUUCCUGGUGUAGCGGUGAAAUGCGCAGAUAUCAGGAGGAACACCGGUGGCGAAGGCGGUUCUCUGGGCCUUACCUGACGCUGAGGAGCGAAAGCAUGGGGAGCAAACAGG